ACUUGAUCUCGCCACUUGAUAGAAUGUGAUGAAUUAUCUUUCCCAGUGGGACUGAGAACAUCAGGAAACAAGCAUGCCUUCUACCCAAUGUUCCAUUUGCAUGGCUCGGGAAGUCCAGGGAACUGAUCUCAGAGUCAUUUGGGGAUGUGCGGUCUCAAUUCUGGGACAGCUAGACAAGGAGCCGGGAAAUGAAAUGCCCCACCUCUGCCCUGCACAAAGGUGCAUUGUACACAUCUGUAGCCAGGCACACAUGGCGGCUGCAUUCGGAGGCCAGACUCUUCGGGUGGAAUGAGGACCAAGAUGGGGACAAGAAGGCCCCACUGCUUUCUCUCGUCGCACCAAGCCUGCGUUGUGUUUCCCACCCCCUGUUUCGCCGCAGGAACAGGCUCCGUGGAGGAAUGCAACUGCGCCCCUGUUCACCAGGCGUCCUGUUUGUUCCCAGCACAGAACAAUGACCUCUUGUAAGGCAGUGCUUUCCAGCCUCACCGAGGGUUACUGAACAGCCCCGAUUCCUCCCCUGAUUAUCUUGAAGCCUGUCAGGCUGUAGGCUCUCCCUCCCUUCUCUGCUCUUUCUUCCUAAUAGACAUGAAACAGUGCAGUCAAUAAUAUUUUACUUGUC